rnacentral:rRNA from 1 species
GACGAACGCUGGCGGCGUGCCUAAUACAUGCAAGUCGAACGCUGAAGAGAGGAGCUUGCUCUUCUUGGAUGAGUUGCGAACGGGUGAGUAACGCGUAGGUAACCUGCCUUGUAGCGGGGGAUAACUAUUGGAAACGAUAGCUAAUACCGCAUAACAAUAGGUGACACAUGUCAUUUAUUUGAAAGGGGCAAUUGCUCCACUACAAGAUGGACUUGCGUUGUAUUAGCUAGUAGGUGAGGUAACGGCCCACCUAAGCGACGAUACAUAGCCGACCGGAGAGGGGGGACGGCCACACUGGGAAUGGGACACGGCCCAAGCUCCUACGGGGAGCAGCAGUAGGGAAACUUCGGCAAUGGGGGCAACCCUGACCGAACAACGCCGCGUGAGUUAAGAAGGGUUUCGGGUCGGAAAGCUCUGUUGUAAGUCAAGAACGAGUUUGGGAGUGGAAAGUUCACACUGUGACGGUAGCUUACCAGAAAGGGACGGCUAACUACGUG